GACGAACGCUGGCGGCGCGCCUAAUACAUGCAAGUCGAACGAGAAGGUGUAGCAAUACGUUUGUAAAGCGGCGAACGGGUGAGGAAUACAUGGGUAACCUACCCUCGAGUGGGGAAUAACUAGCCGAAAGGUUAGCUAAUACCGCGUACGCUCCUUGGACUUCGGUUCAGGGAGGAAAGCGAUACCGUGGGUAUCGCGCUCUUGGAUGGGCUCAUGUCCUAUCAGCUUGUUGGUGAGGUAACGGCUCACCAAGGCUUCGACGGGUAGCUGGUCUGAGAGGACGAUCAGCCACACUGGCACUGCGACACGGGCCAGACUCCUACGGGAGGCAGCAGUAAGGAAUAUUGCGCAAUGGGCGAAAGCCUGACGCAGCGACGCCGCGUGAGGGAUGACGGCCUGGUGUAACUCUUCUGCUCCGACGAGCGAGAGUGACGGUAGGAGCGAGAAGAAGCACCGG
rnacentral:rRNA from 1 species